CCUGCAUCUCCAGUAUGGAAUGUAUGUUUGGCCCUGUGCUGUGGUCCUGGCCCAGUACCUUUGGUUUCACAGAAGAUCUCUGCCAGGCAAGGCCAUCUUAGAGAUUGGAGCUGGAGUGAGCCUUCCAGGAAUUUUGGCUGCCAAAUGUGGUGCACAAGUAAUACUGUCAGACAGCUCAGAACUGCCUCACUGUCUGGAAGUCUGUCGGCAAAGCUGCCAAAUGAAUAACCUGCCACAUCUGCAGGUGGUAGGACUAACAUGGGGUCAUGUAUCUUGGGAUCUUCUGGCUCUACCACCACAAGAUAUUAUCCUUGCAUCUGAUGUGUUCUUUGAACCAGAAGGUAAGCUUUUUUGGCUCAAUAGUACAUUUGGCCAGUGAUGCUAUAUGAAAGUCUAUUCAUAAAUCCUUUCUCCUCAGAUUUUGAAGACAUUUUGGCUACAAUAUAUUUUUUGAUGCACAAGAACCCCAAGGUCCAAUUGUGGUCUACUUAUCAAGUUAGGAGUGCUGACUGGUCACUUGAAGCUUUACUCUACAAAUGGGAUAUGAAAUGUGUCCACAUUCCUCUUGAGUCUUUUGAUGCAGAC
rnacentral:sRNA from 1 species